UACGAAGGGGGCUAGCGUUGCUCGGAAUCACUGGGCGUAAAGGGUGCGUAGGCGGGUCUUUAAGUCAGGGGUGAAAUCCUGGAGCUCAACUCCAGAACUGCCUUUGAUACUGAGGAUCUUGAGUUCGGGAGAGGUGAGUGGAACUGCGAGUGUAGAGGUGAAAUUCGUAGAUAUUCGCAAGAACACCAGUGGCGAAGGCGGCUCACUGGCCCGAUACUGACGUUGAGGCACGAAAGCGUGGGGAGAAAACAGG
rnacentral:rRNA from 1 species